rnacentral:lncRNA from 1 species
AGCAAGAGAGAGAGAGAGAGAGAGAGAGAGAGAGAGAGAGAGAGAGAGAGAGAGAGAGAGAUCAAAUGUAGUUGAACACAUGCAUAUAUACAUCUCUUUCAGAUGAACUGGAGGAUGGUCAAUUGCCUGCAUCGACUUGGUGUAGCUUCCUAGGUAGCUUCCACUCCAUUGUAUUGAACUACCGAGUAUGGUAUGGUGUCCAUCUGUCCACUGCUGUAGUCGUGCGAUUGUGUUUUCGACGUAGACAUACUAAAUCCAUAAAAAAUCCAGAC